rnacentral:rRNA from 1 species
UCUUCGGAGAGUUUGAUCCUGGCUCAGGAUGAACGCUGGCGGCGUGCCUAAUACAUGCAAGUCGAGCGAACGUCAUAGAAGCUUGCUUCUAUGACGUUAGCGGCGGACGGGUGAGUAACACGUGGGCAACCUGCCUGUAAGACUGGGAUAACUUCGGGAAACCGAAGCUAAUACCGGAUAGGAUCUUCUCCUUCAUGGGGGAUGAUUGAAAGAUGGUUUCGGCUAUCACUUACAGAUGGGCCCGCGGUGCAUUAGCUAGUUGGUGAGGUAACGGCUCACCAAGGCAACGAUGCAUAGCCGACCUGAGAGGGUGAUCGGCCACACUGGGACUGAGACACGGCCCAGACUCCUACGGGAGGCAGCAGUAGGGAAUCUUCCGCA